AUGACGGUACCAUAUGAAUAAGCAUCGGCUAACUCCGUGCCAGCAGCCGCGGUAAUACGGAGGAUGCGAGCGUUAUUCGGAAUCAUUGGGUCUAAAGGGUCUGUAGGCGGGCUAUUAAGUCAGGGGUGAAAGGUUUCAGCUUAACUGAGAAAUUGCCUUUGAUACUGGUAGUCUUGAAUAUCUGUGAAGUUCUUGGAAUGUGUAGUGUAGCGGUGAAAUGCUUAGAUAUUACACAGAACACCGAUUGCGGAGGCAGGGGACUAACAGACGAUUGACGCUGAGAGACGAAAGCGUGGGGAGCGAACAGGAUUAAAUACCCUGGUAGUCCACGCUGUAAACGAUGGAUACUAGCUGUUUGGAGUAAUUUGAGUGGCUAAGCGAAAGUGAUAAGUAUCCCACCUGGGGAGUACGCACGCAAGUGUGAAACUCAAAGGAAUUGACGGGGGCCCGCACAAG
rnacentral:rRNA from 1 species